CACGCCAGAGCCUCCUGGGACCAGUCCAGCUCCCUCUGAGCCCCAGGGGUGUGGGGGGGCUUCCCUCCUCAGCAGCCGAGCCGCGCAGUGGCCCUGGAGGCCUGCAUGCUCCUGCUCCCUGGUGUCUAUGCCGCUUCUGCAGCCGGCCCUUCCCUGCCUUUCAAAUUCUAAAUAACACAAGGCAGGGCCUCUCCCUGAAAAUGAGCAGGAGUGAGCCCAUGGAGCCGCUACCUGAGGCCCCUGGGCCCCAUCAGAAUGGCUGAGCCGCCCAGGGAGGGGCUCCCGGGGAGUCUGCUGCCCUCACUUUAACUGGACCAAGCGUUCUGGAAACCCCCCCAAACCUGGGAGGACACGCUCUUGCUGGUACAGGGCUGGGCCACCCAGUCCUCCCCCAUGCCAGCCAACAACCCUGUGCACAGUGCUGCAAGCACUUCUGCAAAACCGAAGGAAGUGGCAGCUGAGCAGAAAACGCACACUCCCCUCCCGGCCCAGUGACCGACCGACCGGCAAUGUCUCAGGACGAGGCCCCUCUGGGCUCCGGGCCAUAUGCUGAGAGCAGAGACUGGCUCGGGGUGGGAGCCGGAGCCACCUGCCUAUCAAGCCCGUCCCAUGUGGCCCACACAGCCCGGGCUGCCGGUGUCCACAUCUUGGCACAUGCCUAACCUUUGGGCAUGACAGCCUGGAGAGGAUGCCUGGAAAGAGUCAGUGGGCCCAGCAGGAGAACAAGCCAGGGCGGGGCAGCCCUGGCACCGGCCUCCCACCAGGACGUGGGCCCAGCAGCAAGGCCCUGCACCAGGUCCCGCUCCUCACCACACACGCCAGCCAGGCUUGGGCGCCAGGGGAGCCCUGCACCAGCCUUUGCUCCUCAGACCACCUCUAGGCUUUUUCACCAGCCUCCUCAAGGACCUUCCUGGACCGGGGUCCCGGGUCCUGCCAGCACCUGCUCACCACUCUUGUGCCGCACCCGCCACUCCUGCUGCCUCUCGGAGCCUCUGCCUCUUUUCGAGCAGCACAGGCCCCAGAGAGAAGCCCGGCCCCUCAAUGCCCCCACCAGUCAUGGAAGCAAAUGUUUAAGGAGAGACUCCAGGGACAAAGUCCUGCCCCCGACUCACCACCGUCUGGACCAGUAGCCAAGGCAAGCCUUUUCCAGAAGCAAGUCUUGUGGAGGGUGGCGGCCACAAAGGUAUAAUGGAAGCCAUUGUCCCGGCCCCCCAAAUCCUCCGGCCCCACCACACCUGUGGUCACUGGGGGUCCUCAGUUCUCUCUUGGGAAGGACACCAGAUUGAGAACCCUCAACAAAGCCUCCAUCUUUACCAACAAAUCACCUUUGCCUUCAGGUCCCCUGCUGCCCAUCCCCUGGCUCCCAGCCCCCAGCCCCAUCCCAGGGCCCCACAGGCUCCCUCCCCAGCACGCAGAGCCC